GUGGGGAAUAUUGGACAAUGGGCGAAAGCCUGAUCCAGCCAUGCCGCGUGUGUGAAGAAGGUCUUCGGAUUGUAAAGCACUUUAAGUUGGGAGGAAGGGCAGUAAGUUAAUACCUUGCUGUUUUGACGUUACCGACAGAAUAAGCACCGGCUAACUUCGUGCCAGCAGCCGCGGUAAUACGAAGGGUGCAAGCGUUAAUCGGAAUUACUGGGCGUAAAGCGCGCGUAGGUGGUUUUGUAAGUUGGAGGUGAAAUCCCCGGGCUCAACCUGGGAACUGCCUCCAAAUCUGCAUGACUAGAGUACGGUAGAGGGUAGUGGAAUUUCCUGUGUAGCGGUGAAAUGCGUAGAUAUAGGAAGGAACACCAGUGGCGAAGGCGACUACCUGGACUGAUACUGACACUGAGGUGCGAAAGCGUGGGGAGCAAACAGGAUUAGAAACCCCUGUAGUCC
rnacentral:rRNA from 1 species